UCAGAAAUUAUGAAGGGCAAGGAAUGCUUCGAACUGAGUGUUUUCCUGUUUGCAUUCAGAGAGCAAACAACACAGAUCACAGCCAGAAAGACUGCAAGAGCACAUCUGCACAUUAAUAUAAUGCGUCAUGUCUUGGCAAACAGGAAAGUGACUUGCAGUCAUGGUAUCACUGUCAAGUGAUGCCACCAUAUUAUUUUUAAAAUGCAGGGAAGAGUUCAGAGACAAGCUUGAUCUAUGUGAACCUUAACAUAUUGCGUUUAUGUGACCAUGAACUUAUUCCAGAGUGUCCCUUCCCCAAAAUAAUCUUGUGGUUAUAAAAUUAUAGUUUUUCUUAGAUAUCAACGAGACAUAAUUAAGUUAACAAGGUGAAUAUUUUCAUAGAUAACUGUAGGAGUGGAUGGGAGUUUAUUGGGUAGUAUUAUACUGAUAUCUAAUUGGUUGUAAAAUUAACUCCAAAUGAUUCUAACUGUCAUUUUUUUCCAUGUUGUAGGAUUUUGGUAUUAAAUAUAAUAUGGAAAACGGUGAACCUGCACCAGAGGGAAUUACUAACAAGAUAUAUGAAUUCACUACAACAAUUAAGGAGUACCUGAUUGCUGUAGAUCUUCCAGACGUACUGCUCAAGACCUGGCUACAAAUCUUCCCCCUUUUCUUUAUUUAUAUCAUCUUGUUUUUAAUUAAGACUGUACUUUUUUGUAUCAAUCUAACCCAUAUUUCCCAUUCUCUGAUUGUCUACCCAGGUGGAUAUCACCACAACAGGUGUUACAAACUUUACAGGCCCUGAAGGACCAUUUGACGUUGAGGUUUUUGAUUCAGCAAGUGAUUAUAUAAAAUUGAUGAAGUCAAUUUUUUAUUUUGAAUCUAUCAAGAAACUGCUGUCCUCUCCUAAGUUCACUUUCUGUUAUGAUGCACUUCAUGGGGUUGCUGGAGCAUAUGCAAAGAGUAUUUUUGUGGAUGAA